ncrna:unclassified sequences L4-Archaeoglobi ribosomal protein leader
CUGAAGGCCGCGUCUGGGUCAAUUGCGGACUGCAACACCCAAUCUCGCUCAUGGUGCCGCCGAAUAUGGCGACACCGCAGGAGGGAGAGCGCGUCACCGUCAG